AACAUCCUGCAACUGGUAAGCACCCAACUCUGCACUCUCACUAGAAGUCACACCCGUAAUGCCAGUUACCUUCUGAACCAUUUCAAGGAACUCCUGCGGAUCCUCACCAGACUUAGAUCCUGAAAAUAGAGGAGGGCUCAUUCGGGUGAAGUCCCAAAUCCUAGCUGCGGCAGUAUUAGCCACUGAAACGGCUGGGACAAGAUCCUACUCACUGAAAUGAUUGGGACAGGAUCCUAUUGAUUAUUUUGGGUUGUUACUAUGUGAGCUAUAGUAGUGAAUCCAGCUCUAAAUUUACCAUGAGAAACAUAAUCAUUUAGGGGAUCUUUCUGAACUGUCGGAGAUGCAGGCUGAUUCCCUUUUCUUUUUUCAUUAGUCUUACUGAGAGGCAUGUUUUGUAAACAGAAAGAAGAUUGAAUUAGAAAAGGGAGUUUAAAUUGAGCUUAUGCUCAUUCGCACAAAAUGAAUACUAAAAGAAGGGAAACUUUUCCUAAAACGUCUUAUAGCCUCGUGUCCAUAGAUAUGGCGUGCUUCACACACAUGCACAAGACUCAACCAAAUUCGGUUUUUAGAAUUCCUAGGACACUUUAAAAACUUAAGCUCUGAUACCAAGUUUGUAACGCACCGAGAGUGCACCUUGGAUUCCACACGGUGCUUAUGAUCUCAAGUGACCACAAGCUAACCCAUGAGCUGGUACCUGUUGUGACCACUGAAUAAAUUGAUAAUAAAAGAUAUACAUGUGCAGAAAAAGCUGGAUAUGCUAUAGGGUUUAAAUGCUGAAAACAAUACAAUGAAAUCCACAAUUCUGAAACAUAAGAAAAAGUGUUGAAAACUAUCAACUAAUUGACUGUCUGAAAUGUUCGAAAUCCUUUAAAACUAACUGAAUCGAAGACAUUUUUCAUUCAUCAAAUCAGUCUUCGUAGAUAAUCGGAGGCAUCCUUCAUUUAUCCCAAGUCCCCAUGAAUAAUCAAAGGCGCCAUUCAUUCUCAAGUUCUUGUAUACAAUCAGAGGCAUCAUUCAUCUUUUCAUUAAAAUAUAUAAUUAAAAAAGUUAUUUUCUUCAAAUUCCAUUCAAAAGGCCAAAUUCUAGCCAUAACUCAUACACUGGGGUAAAUUUUGAGAGCCGCCCCAAAAAUAAUUUUCUAUUUUCGCAUAUCGAACUACAUUGAUCUGAUUUUCUUGACACUCGAGAUAUGUAGGAAGCACUAUGCAGAGUUCGAUCAUGGCAAUGACAUAAUCAUUCUUUCUCCCCACCAAGUACUCAAUCUUGUAUCCCCAGCAUCUCACAGCUCGAUACUGGGAAAUUUCAAAAGAAGCAUCGGGAAUAUAUGAACACUUUCGUUCCCAAACAACCCUCCUCUCAAUAAUCAUUCCAUAUGAUCAUUUGCCCCUAAUAACAAGGCAAAAGGCAAUUGCAUGUUCUUUUAAACAACAUCCGACCUGAUCCUCAUACAGCUCGAGGUAUGUAGGUAACUUUGAAUUAGAGUUCGGCCAAAUUUUUUUCAAAAAAUAUAUAUAUAUCAUUUUUGUCGAGCAAAAUUGGCUACACGUCAACAUUUUCAUUUGAAUAUUUCUACAUCAUCCUCAAAUGAAAAGGGGCAACUGUUGACACCCAAUUUUUGCUCUUUAUGCCUAAAUUUAAUGUCUUCAGGCUUCCUGGCCAUUAAAGGGCACAAAAUAUAAUUUUCACAUAUUUUUACUUUUCUUAAUUUAUUGAUAAUUCUCUGUACAUUAGAAUUUUUAUCAAUUCAUUAUCAUCUGUAAUAUUUUUUCACAAUCAUCUACUCACAUACAUGACAUGACAUCACAUUUUAUAACAUUUUCAAAUUAAUUACUUUUUUUUCAAUAUUUUUAACAUUCUUUACAUUUUUCAAUAAUUACAAAUCAAUUUCUAUAUUUUUUACAGUCCGCAAAUAUUAAAUCGGAUCAAUUAUUUUUGUACAGUAUAGUAAUUUGAUGUCUUGUCACAUCUGAUAAGUACCACACAAUAAUCUCUAAUCACAUCCGACAAGUUAUUGAUAAUUGUCAUUAUUUUAGAAUUUUGACCAAUUUAUUGUCAUAUUUUAAUUUUACAUAUUUUUUCUUAAUUUCGUAAAUGUUAGGAUUUUUAUCAGUUUAUUACCAUUUUAAUAUUUUUGAACAGUCAUCUACAUACAUACAUAACAUAAUACUACAAUUCUUUUUACAUAUUAUAAUUUUAGUUGUUUAUAGUGUAAUACAUUUUUUUUCAAAGAUAAUUAUAUCUGUUUAUAUUUUUCUGUAGUUAUAUAUAUUGAUAUUUUUAUUUUGUACCUUAUUUAUUUCAGUCUACAGAAAUAAUAUCGGUUUAUUUUAAUAUAAAUAAUAAAUUGGUCAAAUCAAGGUCUCAUCACUCUUUAUCAGUUUUGACUUUAAUUUACCUACUACCCAAAAUUUAAGAAAUUUGUUGGAAGAAAUAAUUUCUUUUUUCCUUUUAUUUAUACCAACACACCUAUACAUAAUAGACACACAGAUUCACAAUACAAACACCUACACGUAUUUUUCUUUCUUUCCCAACACACACGCCUUUUUCUCUGUACAUCAGCAGCUACUAUCAGAGCUCCGGCGAACGGCUCCGGCCAACACAACCACUGUCACACUUCCCCUUCUUCUUUUCCCAAAUUCUGACCAUCAAACACCACCUCCAGCAGCACCACAAUGCUGACCAGCCAUCUUCACCAAAAAUCACUAUUUUCAAACACUUUGCGCCUCUUCUCUCCCACUAUCGAAGACAACACCGGCGAACUACCCCUGUCGCCCAUCUCUCCAUUUAUUUCUCUCUCUACCCUCACUGCCAACUGUUGGAUUUGACUAUCGAACGAUCGAAGACCGAGAAAACAACCCCACAACCACUACCAUCGAAAAUGGGUCAGAUCUAGCCAAGUUCAUGGCUUACGGCGUCGCUCCAGCGAAGGCCAUGGAAGCGACGUCAUUUUAUUACUCUUUUGUUCGUCGGUAUCACUGAAUAAAUAAGGCUUCAAUAUUUUGUGUUUUGUUGUAUUAUUUGGUUAUUCUCUCAAAUUUUGAUUUGAAAUUCACUGAAGAAUAAUGUUUUGUUUUACCUUUUUUUAUUGUUGCUCUAAAUGUGUUGGCCGGAGUUAAUAAAACUCCAUACUUUAGGACAAGCAUUUACAUGUUUCAAAUAUUUCUCUAAUUUUUAGCUUGCUCGAGUUUUUGUUAUGUUGCUACUGCUGCUCCAUUCAUUGUUAUUACUGCUGAUUUUGCUAUAGAUUUUCUAUUUGUGUAAUAUAAUUUUUUUAUUUGUGUAAUAUGAAUUUUCUACUAUCCACGGACUGAUUUCGCCACUUACAUUUUAUUUAAUGAGAUAGUACAAAAAAUAUUUGGCUAGUGAAAUUAUCUCUCCGUCGGAUACUUGAGGCCACCCUAACAAAAGACAGAUUUUGCUUUUUAGUUUACUUAUUUUAUAUCAAACAUCAAAACACUGCCUAUGACAAUAUCUUUUCGUUGGAUUUUUGAGGCCCC
rnacentral:lncRNA from 1 species